rnacentral:misc_RNA from 1 species
UCAUCGAUUGUCUCAAUCACGAGCAUUUCCGGCGAGGCGCAGUGUCAGUGAAUAUCCAGAAGCAACCACGCAAGGCAUCUCCACGUAUUGUCUGCAUCGGAAUGCCGGUGCGCGAUCUGAUUUUCCGCGUGCCGGAAGUGCCUUCGCGCGGGCAGAAAGAAUAUGCCAGCGAGUUCGUCGAGGUGGCCGGCGGCAAUUCGCCCAACGCCGCCAUUUCGAUUUCACGUCUCGGCGGGCGUGUUCUGCUCACUGGUCCGAUCGGCGGGUUGCUGGCCGCGAGCAAUGUCACCAUCAACGACCAG